AAAUGUCCCCAGUAUAAGUCAAUCAUUCAUAAAUAGAUUGUUCUUUAAUUCAGAUCUUCAUCAGACUGCUAUAUGUAAUUCAUACCCUUUCACUGUGACAUUUUUAGAAGUAAUUUCUAUUGUACAACUACCACUUAACCCCAUUACAUUAAAUUGUGUCAUUUGAAAACCAGGCAUUAAUGGUUAUGUUUGAUGAUAAAGAAGUUGGGUACAUGUCAAUGAAACAGCCAUAAAUAAUAAAAGACAUAUAAUUUAUUUGCUUUUUCCUUUUUUCAUCUUACACCAUCUUCAGUUCCUGUACAAUGUUACAGUUAAAACUCAUCAUUUAGGAAGUGUAGAAAAGAAAAGGUAACAAAACAUUGUUGCAGUCAGAAUUUAAGUGUAGCAAAGAAAAGGCAACAAAACAUUGUUGCAGUCAGAAUUUAAGUGUAGCAAAGAAAAGGUAACAAAACAUUGUUGCAGUCAGAAUUUAAGUGUAGCAAAGAAAAGGUUACAAAAUAUUUCUGUAGUUGGAUGUCAACUGUAUCAAAGAAAAGGUUACAAAAGAUUUCUGCAGUCAAGAGUAAUAAAAAAGCUCAAAGUGAACAAACUGUUCUGCAGUCAGAAGGUAAGCAUAGCAAAGAAAAGGUUACAAAACAUUUCUGCGCUUGGAGGUUAAGUGUAGCAAAGAAAAUGUUAAAAAACUUUUCUGCCAUCAAAGGUAAAUGUAGCAAAGAAAAGGUUACAAAACAUUGUUGCAGUCAGAAGUUAAGUGUAGCAAAGAAAAGGUUACAAAACAUUUCUGCGCUCAGAGGUUAACUGUACCAAGGGAAAGGUUACAAAACAUUUCUGCGC